rnacentral:rRNA from 1 species
GAUGAACGCUGGCGGCGUGCUUAACACAUGCAAGUCGAACGGAAAGGCUCCUGCUUGCCGGGGUACUCGAGUGGCGAACGGGUGAGUAACACGUGGGUGAUCUGCCCUGCACUUCGGGAUAAGCCUGGGAAACUGGGUCUACUACCGGAUAGGACGAUGGGUUGGAUGCCAUUGUGGAAAGCUUUUCGGUGUGGGAUGAGCUCGCGGCCUAUCAGCUUGUUGGUGGGGUAAUGGCCUACCAAGGCGUCGACGGGUAGCCGGCCUGAGAGGGUGGACGGCCACAUUGGGACUGAGAUACGGCGCAGACUCCUACGGGAGGCAGCAGUGGGGAAUAUUGCACAAUGGGCGCAAGCCUGAUGCAGCGACGCCGCGUGGGGGAUGACGGCCUUCGGGUUGUAAACUCCUUUCGCUAGGGACGAAGCGCAAGUGACGGUACCUGGAGAAGAAGCACCGGCUAACUACGUG